UCGUUGUCUGAUCACCUAAAGCCCAAAGACUCUCUGAAUGACUAGGCACAUUUCAUGCGAGAAAUCAAGGACUCUUGGAAGAUGGAACAGAUUUCAGUGACAAUUUGGCACCAAGAAGUAAUCAGUAAAAGAGUAAGGUAUCAGACAACCCUGACUUACAUGACAGGCAGCCAGCUAGUAUAUAAAUCAUAAAGAAAUGCCCACUGAAACCGCUUUUGCUUGCCAGAGGCAAGAUCGGCUGUCACUAAAUGAUGCUGGCAGGGGCGACCUGCAGCCCACGGAGCCUUUGCUUGCAGCCACCCUCCGAAGGAAACCUCACCAUCCGGUAGCUGCAGGGUCUCUGGAGCAGCACCCGGGCAGGGAGCAGGAGCUGGGCUUUCGGGUGGCCAGAGCUGUGGGGCAGCCAGACCCCAAGUGGCUCGGCCCCUCGCAGAGCUGCCUGUGCCCGGAGAGUCCUGCUGCUGGAUAGUCGGGAUCCCAGCUCUCCCCUUCCUCUCAGUCUUCUGCGUGGCAGCAAGAAGCUACUCAGGGGUCUGCUCUCAAGCGCCUCAUUGCUGUGCUCAAGAUUGCUGAUGCCCAAAGCUGCAGGGAGAGAGCACGGUGCCAGCAGGGAAAGCACCCAGCCCCGCCAGGGUGGCUGUGGCCAGCAGACAACGUUCGCGGGGGCAGAGGCUCCCUGACCUUGCGAAGGAGAAACACAUCAUAAGCAGCCAAGGCCACAGGAGAGGGAAAAGCCCCUUUGGCCUUCUCCUCUCCUUCCCCUGGCCAACUUGCACUUGCUUGGGCGGGAAAAGGGGAAGCCACCGUCCCCACCAGCAGCACUGCCUAAAUGCAAAGCCAGGUGUGAGGUGCAACUAAGACGAGGACUCCAGCCCUCCUUGCAGGAAGAGAUCCCUGCCCGACAGGCCACAUGUGCAAGGCAGAGGCCGCAGCAAUGGGGGGGCUCUGAGCAACACGUGAGGCUGGGGCAAGACGGGCAACACGAACUUUGUAAGGAAUGUUAAUCAAGCAGCUAUCGUAAGUAUUUGAGUUUAGGCAAACGUUGUUUGGGCUAGUGCAAAAGGACUUUAAAUACCUACAUUUCAUUGUCUCUGCAUAAGCAACACCAUAGUCACAGUUUCAUUUUACACUUUUACUGCUAAGCUAUGUGCUGGUCGUACAGUAUGCAACACUUGCCCAUCUGCACUUUCCCCCAUACGCACACAUAAUCACCUGUCUCGCUACAUCAUUCCCACUGAGGCCUUAUCUAGUGUUUAUAAGCAUCACUAAGAAUAGAGUACAGUACAUUUCCUCGAAUGCAUGUGUGUGCCGGUUUUCUAUCAUCUGUUUCUCUGCCCGAAAGGCUUCUGAGAUAGCCUGCCUUUGAUCCUGAAAACCCUCUAAGCUCUCAUUUAGCAUUAACAGCGAUACACUUAUCUUGGAUGGGAACAGGAAAACCUUAAAUACCCCACUGGCUAAAGCUUGUCUACCAGCCAUUUUUUAUCACAUAUUUUGCAGCUCUUAUUGUCUGGAAAAAUGGAGAAAACUAACCUUUUGCACAGAAUAUCCAAGACAGAGAAGCACAACAAAGCUACCAGAAUUGGUGGAAGUGAGACCAUUUAGGGUGCAGUUUUGCAAGACAUUUCCAGCUGAUCCAACAGCUCACUGCUGCCAAAAAUGGGAUGUUCUGCUUUCUCGCCAUUACCUCUUCUUCCGGCUGCUGCCUCCCCACUUCCACCACUUACCUUAUGCGGGUUCUGGCAGUCUUCAGAUCGCUCUGGGAACAGAGAGAUCCCAACGACCCCACAGGAAAAUUAACCUAGCCAAAGAGUGGAGCGUUUCUGCCAGAUUGGCACGUUGAAUCUGCUCAGAGAGGCCCCAGAAGUACGCGAGCUGGCACUACAGAGGACGUGGGGCUACGCAGCCAGGAGUGGGGAGCAGGGAGAGGAAGAGGGGGGAGCAAGACCUCCUCUCAGCGGCAGCUAGCCAUGGCGUAGGCCGAGCUGUUUGUGAAACCACAGUCCAAGGAGAUCUAGGCCACUUCCUACAGCUUCACAAAGGAAAUGUCCAUACAUAACUUCAGGGAACGGGGAAUCAUUAUUUUGUAUCUGUAGAUCAUCCUGCCUCAAAAUAGCACCAUGUUUAAUUAUCAUAAUAAAUAAGAUGGACUAUUUACAAA